GGCGCUUGUGUGCAAUCACAAACGUAUCAAGUUAAUCGGCAUAACAUUGUGUACUUGGGACGAGCGUUCCUGAGUACUGCUGCCGCGUACCAAUAGAA